ensembl:snRNA U6 U6 spliceosomal RNA
GUGCUUGCUUCAGCAGCACAUAUACUAAAAUUGGAACAAUACAGAGAAGAUUAUGACUCCUGAACAGGGUGACAUUUCCUACUUAUUGUUUACACCCAUUUAC